GAUGAACGCUGGCUGUGUGCCUAAUACAUGCAUGUCGAACGAAGCACUUGUGCUUAGUGGCGAAUGGGUGAGUAACACGUACUUAAUCUACCUCAGAGUUUGGGACAACAUUUGGAAACGACUGCUAAUACCGAAUACGCUAUUUGGGGGCAUCCCCGAGUAAUGAAAGACCCGUUUGGGUCGCAAUGAGAUGGGAGUGCGCUACAUUAGUUAGUUGGUGGGGUAAAGGCCUACCAAGACGAUGAUGUAUAGCGGGGUUGAGAAGCUGAUCCGCUACACUGGGACUGAGAUACGGCCCAGACUCCUACGGGAGGCAGCAGUAGGGAAUUUUCCACAAUGAGCGAAAGCUUGAUGGAGCGACACAGCGUGCAGGAUGAAGCCUUUCGAGGUGUAAACUGCUGUUAUAAGAGAAGAAACCCAUACUAGGAAAUGAGUAUGGCUUGACGGUACCUUAUCAGAAAGCACGGCAAACUAU
rnacentral:rRNA from 1 species